GGGAAGCGAUUCGUUCAACGCAAUUGAUCCAGCGGAGCAAAUUUUUCAUUGGAAAACAAAUUCAAGUUGACCGAGUAUCAAUACAUGGAGUUCUGAGAAUCGUAUUUGGUUUUGAACACUCGUACGCGAUGCGAAACUUGCUGACAAAUUCUCAUUAUCGUCAGUUAUUGCAAUCGCAAAUUCCACGAGGAAAAUAUCUACGAAACAGCAAAUCCUCGAGCUGCCUUAACAUUUGGGAAAGUUCGAUUCUCGUGGGCCUUUUCGACUUCCCGUUUCCGAGGACGGAAAGAUUGGAAACAAACGGUGGCGGAGCAUCGAAUUGGAAAGACGAUGAACGGAAAAUCGAUCAUUUAACGUCUCAUGAAAGUUUGGCAAUUUAAUAAUUGUGAUUGGAAAAAAGAUUCGGAAAGAUCGCAAAAUUCGCAUUAAUGUCGGUCCUCCUUGGAAAGCCGUUCAUACACGAAUACGAGAAUGUAUAUUCACGAUACGUUUGUAUAUGGAGGUUUUACUUGUUUCUCAUCCACGCCGGCUGUCAGCGGGGCCGUUGAAAUAUCGUUCUGGCGAACUAGCCGGCGUUCGAUAAUUAGUUUACUCCUCAUUACGGCAUUGCUUCGGAUUAUUAGGCGCAUCAGCAGGCACUCGGGUUCGCGUAGGGGCGCGAGCGAUCGAGGAAAAGCGAGAGAGGGAUAGGAGGAGGAAGAAAUGAACAAAAAAGUGAAGGAGAUGAAAGUCUAUAUGUAUACGAAACAUCGAAAAAACGUCGACAGGGAGUGCAGGAGAGGAGUAAACGAAGCGCUAAUUAACGGAACGUUUAGGGGUUAGUCGACCGGAUGGUUGACCACGCCCGUAAAACGAUACCGAAAUUUGUAUUCUGCUGCCAAUUUUCCAUGGAUAGAUCGACGGAUAAGUUCGAGGAAGUUGUAACCAAUAGUUUCGGUGGUCAGGAGGAAGGUAACGAGAUAAAUGAGAGAGCAGGAGAGAGCGAGGGCGACUUUUGGCGUAACUUUUGCGCGCUCCUCCUCCCGGAGAUGGAGCACGCGGCAAUCUCGCUCCUUUGAUCUCGAUUCUGCCAAGUGGAUCGACGGAAUGCUUCCGAGAGAAUAUACAAGCCCUGAACUCAUGUAUAAUCGCGUACACAUGCGUGUGGAGUUUGAGGCAGAGGAGGAGCACGAUGCGCGGGAGCCAUCUCUGUUAAUCAUCGCGUAAUUACCGUUCCAAUUAUCAGAUGCUGAGAUACGAGUGCGCGAGGCUCGCGGACAGUCGCCGUGUGCAAGCCACUCGCAUUGCUGUGAUCGUGUUCACAUUGAAGCACUGGAAUAUGGAGCAGGUCACGUCGGAAGUAAUGCGACGAGAUAAAUGCCAGCGAUUCGUUCCUUUUUCUGUGUAAAUAACCAGGACUCGAGGAAUCAACUUAUCGGCUGAUAAAAUGGAGUGGUGUUCGCUCUGAGAAGUUGGACACUCGGAUAUAACACGCGCGUAGCCUUUAAUUCGGUGAUUCUGGUUGUUCUUAUCGUUUCUUCUCGCGCCGUCCAGUGGUAACGGAUAAUAAUAAAAAAGAGUGAAGAAAAAAAAUUAGUUACGUUCGUUGAAAGCGCGCGCGAGAGUCAUCGGACAAUACUUGUUCUUUCGCGGCCACAAGAGGGGAGGGGGUUGAACGUGCGGGGGGCGUUACCCGGCAUUCCUUGGUAAAUUAACUUAGCGGACAAAAUAUAUAUGUGUAUAUAUAUAUGGAGAAAGAGAGGAAGAAAGUAACGUAUAGAGUCGAGUAAGGAUGGUGGUCGUUGAGGAGGCUGCGAGGAGAAGAUUCGCGUUAUACACAAGCGACCGUCGGCGAGUCUCCUCUUUCUCCCGCCAAAUAUUCAUUUAAAAAGGUAAAUGCAAUUUUGCCGUUUUACGUGAUUGAGAUAAUGCUCGCCGAUUAACUGCUGCUGCUGCUGCGCACAGUUUUCUGAUGCUCCUUUACCCGUCUUUCUCCCUCUCCCUUUGCUUUUUUUCUGCACCCUUUUAGCCUGCUCGUCCUCCGCCGCACUCUCCACAUCACCCUUUUAUCGUACGUACCACUUUCUUCUCCUCACUUUUCCUACUCUUUCCUUUCGCCCAUCUCUCUUUCCUUUUCAGUCUCGCUGUCCAGCUUUUUCUCCCUCCCUCUCUCUCUCUCUCUCUCUUUCUAGAGCCAAACGUUUCUAAAAAACAAUAAAGUUUAUUUUACAUAUACACAGUAAAAUAAUGUCUAGACGUAAAAAAUUUGUAAACAAAUGUACUACGAAUA